rnacentral:rRNA from 1 species
AGAGUUUGAUCCUGGCUCAGGACGAACGCUGGCGGCGUGCCUAACACAUGCAAGUCGAACGAAGCAUAGUAAUAUGCUUAGUGGCGGACGGGUGAGUAACGCGGUGGCGGACGGGUGAGUAACGCGUGAACAAUCUGCCCUAUACAAAGGAAUAGCCUCGGGAAACUGGGAUUAAAACCAUAUAACACUUUUAGGCCGCAUGGUUUGGAAGUCAAAUUGAUUAAGAGGUAUAGGAUGAGUUCGCGUCUGAUUAGCUAGUUGGUGAGGUAAUGGCUCACCAAGGCGACGAUCAGUAGCCGGCCUGAGAGGGUGAACGGCCACACUGGAACUGAGACACGGUCCAGACUCCUACGGGAGGCAGCAGUGGGGAAUAUUGCACAAUGGGCGCAAGCCUGAUGCAGCAACGCCGCGUGAGUGAUGAAGGCCUUCGGGUCGUAAAACUCUGUCCUAAGGGAAGAAGAAGUGACGGUACCUUAGGAGGAAGCCCCGGCUAACUACGUGCCAGCAGCCGCGGUAAUACGUAGGGGGCGAGCGUUGUCCGGAUUUACUGGGCGUAAAGGGUGAGUAGGCGGUUGUAUGUGUCAGAUGUAAAAGGCUAUGGCUUAACCAUAGUUGGCAUUUGAAACUGUACAACUUGAGUGCAGGAGAGGUAAGUGGAAUUCCUAGUGUAGCGGUGAAAUGCGUAGAUAUUAGGAGGAACACCAGUGGCGAAGGCGACUUACUGGACUGUAACUGACGCUGAGUCACGAAAGCGUGGGUAGCAAACAGGAUUAGAUACCCUGGUAGUCCACGCUGUAAACGAUGAGUGCUAGGUGUUGGGUAGCGAUAUUCAGUGCCGAAGUUAACACAAUAAGCACUCCGCCUGGGGAGUACGGUCGCAAGGUUGAAACUCAAAGGAAUUGACGGGGGCCCGCACAAGCAGUGGAGCAUGUGGUUUAAUUCGAAGCAACGCGAAGAACCUUACCAGGUCUUGACAUCCCUCUGACCGGUCCGUAACGGGACCUUCCCUUCGGGGCAGAGAUGACAGGUGGUGCAUGGUUGUCGUCAGCUCGUGUCGUGAGAUGUUGGGUUAAGUCCCGCAACGAGCGCAACCCUUGUGUUUAGUUGCCAACACUUCGGGUGGGCACUCUAAAGAGACUGCCGGGGAUAACUCGGAGGAAGGUGGGGAUGACGUCAAAUCAUCAUGCCCCUUAUGAUCUGGGCUACACACGUGCUACAAUGGUCGGUACAACGGGCAGCGAAAGAGCGAUCUGGAGCGAAUCCUAAAAAGCCGAUCCCAGUUCGGAUUGCAGGCUGAAACUCGCCUACAUGAAGUUGGAGUUGCUAGCAAUCGCGAAUCAGAAUGUCGCGGUGAAUGCGUUCCCGGGUCUUGUACACACCGCCCGUCACACCAUGAGAGUUGGUAAUA